rnacentral:rRNA from 1 species
ACUCCUACGGGAGGCAGCAGUGGGGAAUAUUGGGCAAUGGGCGAAAGCCUGACCCAGCGACGCCGUGUGGGCGAUGAAGGCCUUCGGGUUGUAAAGCCCUGUUGGGUGGAAAGAAGGAACCAGAGACGAAUAAUCUUUGGCUCUUGACGGUACCACCAGAGGAAGCACCGGCUAACUCCGUGCCAGCAGCCGCGGUAAUACGGAGGGUGCAAGCGUUGUUCGGAAUUACUGGGCGUAAAGGGCGCGUAGGUGGUUGUGUAAGUCGGAUGUGAAAUCCCGAGGCUCAACCUCGGAACCGCAUCUGAUACUGCAUGACUAGAGUGCAGCAGAGGGAAACGGAAUUCCUGGUGUAGAGGUGAAAUUCGUAGAUAUCAGGAGGAACACCGGUGGCGAAGGCGGUUUCCUGGGCUGACACUGACACUGAGGCGCGAAAGCGUGGGUAGCAAACAGGAUUAGAUACCCUGGUAG